rnacentral:tRNA from 1 species
GAGUCGAUGUGUAGCGUAGUGGUAGUGCGUUGUUGUUGCCAGUUGCAGGUCGUGGGUUCGAUUCCCCCUCGACCCC